ACACAUAUUCAAAUAACAUUAGUACAUUUACAAGAGAACCAAAAAUAAAAUACAAAAUACUAUCCAACCAAGCACAAUGACGUACUUACAAAGACACAUACAAAUAUAGUCAUUAAAAUUUAAUAAGCUAAUGUCUAAAGUUAAAGAACUAAGAACAUGCACCUAGUUGCAAUUGAAAAAAAUAAUGUUACAUUUCGAUCGAAACCCUAAUCAGGCCCUCUCGGUGCGGUGGACGUCACAUGCAGUAUAUCGCCAUCGUCACGGUGCAUCGCGAUAGAAUGAUUGUGAGAGUUGCGUGUGUCGGAUCACACAGCAAGUAGUUGACGAUUGAAGCCGAGAUUGACGAUGGGGGAAUUGCGAGUUCGAAUUUUCUCGCCGAGGAAGAAACGAGUUUUUUCGAUCGUGUUCAUUCUGGAAAACCAUCAGGAAGGCGGUUUUUGACUCGAUGAGCUUUCGGCAACGAGAGUCCUUGUCCUCCGCAGAGGGGAUCGAUCUAAAUUUCAUAUGCAGGGUCGAGUUAACAUCGGCAUUCUUCUCCUCAAAAUGUCAGCUCGAGUUCCCAAUUGUCAACAUGCGAAGACAGAUAAUUAUCCUGAAUGUGGCAAACGUGAAGUGAAGCCGUAAACCUUUCCUCCCGCUCUCGACUUUGGAGAGUGUAGGACUGCGUGGUAACUGAUUCUCUUGAUCCUGUACAGAGGUGAUGCCAAACGGUCGCCCUAAUCUGCUUUUAAAGCUGAGACUGCACAAAUAAUGCUGGUCUUUCACAUUCACAUCCGCGACCAACCAUGAUUACGAGCGUAUUCAAGAUUCCUAAAAGCGGUGGGAUUCUUAACGCGUGCAGACAUUGAGAAGUACUGGAGCUAAUCCUGCGCUCCUCUUGCUGAGGUUCUUUACAAGUUGUAGUCAAAAUGCCGCCAAGCCUGAAGGCGAAGCUGGUUGGCACUCCGGCACGACGAAAUUCUUCUCAAGGACUAAGCAGCGGUGAACGGAAACCUUUGCAUAAUGACAAUGAUUCCACAACUAUAAACGAGGAGGCGGACGGAAUAGAGGAUGAGAGGGUGAAACAGUGGAACGGGGCGUCUUCAUGGCAUCAAAACAUAGCAAUCCGUCGACGUUUCUUACUGCAGCACGCAGUUGCUCUCCACUCCUACGGCAGCUCAUCAUCUCGAACAGAACACUUGAUUGAUAAAGCUGCUCCUCGGCUGGAAGUCGACGCCAGCAUUGCAGUGUUUCCCUCGUUGAUUCUCCUAUCCUUUCCCGGAAUAGGCGGCCUCAACGAGCGCAGGGAUACAAGCAGCAUGAAAGUGAGAAAGGAUUGACACAAGAAUGAUCGAAUGGACUUUGGUUGGGGGUUUGGACUUCCUCACUUCACCUUCUGGAUGCAAUGGCUACUGUUCACCUUCAAUGGAAGAUUGCAGUUGCCAUGCUAGCGUACAGGCUUUUGUGUAAUGUCCCAGUCAAGGAUUCUUUAUGUAUCAGCAGUUUCCAAGUUUAUUUAAUAAGUGCCUGGCCUCAUUCUUGCUCUGAGAAUGCGUAAAUUAUUUCCAGUUCUAAUCUUCUCGACAUAGUUGAGGCCAUUGUGAACCUCGUAACUUAACGAUCAAUGACAAUAUGAUUGUGGGGGAGUUGCGGGUUGCAUCUUUGACGUAGUAAUGAUCGUUAAGCUACAGGCUUGUUGCAUGGGCCAGAAGCAUCAGUGCGGAAGGUAUAGUGGUCAGCUGUGCGUGAUGCGUUCAAUUCAAAGCUAGCCUUUGGUAUCUUUGAAUGUGUACCUCAACUUCAAGUUUGAGCAGUAUUCGGACGUCUUCAAUGCUCUGCUGUCCCAAAACAACUUUUCGAUGAGUUGUCCUUGAAAAUUUUAUCAUCCGGCGCAGGAAAGAGAUACACAUGUUGACAGUGGCGAGUGACCUAGAUGUGGGCAAACUUGGGCAUGUUGAUGAGCUCACAAAUCAAGUUGGCAGAUCCGGAACGACCUUUGCGUUUUCAUAUUGGCGCCUCAAAAAAAUUAUAAAUUCACCACCUGUGUUUGAUAAGUGGUGUCGUCUAUUUGGAUAUGCGGUAUCAGCUGCUACAUCUGCACCUUUGUUUUUCGAUGGUGGUCCCUGGGAUGCAUUUUUUUGUCUAAUUUUUGGAACAGCUGUGGGCAUACUUGACAUGAUUGCAUCUAUUAAUCCCAUGUUUGCAACUAUUAUGGGUUUUUCAUCGGCAUGCUUAGUCGCCUUUUUAUCAAAAUGCUUGAUUUCGAACCUGAAAGGCCUUGGCUUGUGUUACAUCGCAUUAACACUUGGAUCACUUACCCAACUUCUUCCAAGUAUCAACCCAAUACAUUUCAUUUUAAUUUUAUUUAAAGUAACCCUUCACCUCCAGCUGCCAUGCAUGACCUCUCUGAAGUUAGUGUCUUUUUCAUGUACAAAUAAGUUUGUCGUUAGCUUCGGUUUUGGACCAGGUAUGUAUUUCACAUUGAAAUGAUUUCGAAGUCGCACGUGAGGGGCUCGGCUGAGGUAUUGCGUGGUUUAUAUUCAUCAAUGCAGCUUGGGUUUGGGCUUGCAAUGGGAGAGAAUUUAGUCUGGUGGGCAACCGAGCAGAUGCCACACUCUUGUGGCCCUUCAACUCUACCAUUAUGGACAAAAUUCAUCUGUGAUUUACAAAAGAAAGUGGUGACGGAGUUCAGCUUGAACAGUUGAGUGCGUCUGUAAGUAUCCAAACAACAAACUUAUAUCACAGUCAACAACCUGUGGGAGACGGGUUCCUAGGUUAUGCGGUUGGGUCCAAUAUUCUCUUGAUGGCUCGCUUUGAGCAAUGGCCAGGCAUGACGCUUACUGCACUCGCAGGAUAUGUGGUGUCGUGCUUUACAGACCCUCGAUUUAGUUUGAGCACCUCUGCAACCAUUUCGGCCUUUGCUAUUGGCAUCACAGGGAACACGUACUCUUACUACACAGGGGAACUGCCCUUAGCGAUGAUCAUAUCUGGCAUUAACAUUCUUGUCCCUGGAGGCAUUGGAGUCCAAGCUUUUGCAAACAUGCUCAAAGAAAAUGGAACCUCUGGUUUUGGAUUUGUGUUUGAAAUGGUGGUUGCGGCUAUGUCUCUUACUAUUGGCCUUCUCUUCGCUAAAAUAGCAACGCCGAUUGCAAUGCAAACAGCCCGGCCUUUAAAUUUUCACUAGAUAAAUCUUCAUUCUCUCAUGGCUGAUUCAGAGCAGGUGGUCAUGGAAAGCUCCUAUUCCGGCUCCGACAUUGAGGAGUCCAUGGCUCUCUAAUUACCAGUUUGACACGCUAAAUUGCAUGACUGUUUAAGCCUUAAUUGCUCAGUUUUUACACUUCAUGAAUAUUUUAGUGGACGGGUACUAGUAAUAAUGGAAUCAAUUUGGAACAUUCAAUUUGAUCCGCUCCUAGAAGAGAGUAAGAGACAGUGGUAGUACUGCAGGCAUUAAGUUUGAGACUUCCUAGUAUGCAAGGGUAAAAUUUGAGUAAGCGAUAAACCGAGAAUCGUUAUCAACAUUCAUGGCCAUGUAUUCUAAUCUUGAAUGAAAUAGAGCUUAAAGAUUGGAUAAAA